rnacentral:rRNA from 1 species
AUGGUCUCCGCUCUGUCCCACGUCAUCCGCGCCACACCGGAACAGCAACAAGCCUACUACCCCGCCGGAUCCGCCGCUGUCUCAGGAGAACAGCAGCAUCAGCACGAUGCGGCGGCUGCCGCGGCCAUCGCUGAGGAACAAGGGAGGAAGCGGCACUACAGAGGGGUGAGGCAGCGGCCAUGGGGAAAGUGGGCGGCGGAGAUCCGGGACCCCAAGAAAGCGGCUCGUGUAUGGCUCGGCACCUUUGACACGGCUGAGGACGCCGCCAUCGCCUACGACGAAGCGGCGCUGCGCUUCAAGGGCACCAAGGCCAAGCUCAACUUCCCCGAGCGCGUCCAGGGACGCACCGACCUCGGCUUCGUCGUCACGCGCGGCAUUCCCGACAGAUUGCAGCAACAACAACACUACCCCGCCACCGUGGGGGCGCCGGCAAUGCGGCCACCGCCGCACCAGACCGUGGUGCCGUACCCUGACCUCAUGCGGUAUGCACAGCUGUUGCAGGGCGCUGGCAGUGCCGGGGGCGCUGUCAACCUGCCGUUUGGCGCCAUGUCGCCCCCGUCGAUGUCCUCGUCGUCGCCGCACAUACUCGACUUCUCGACACAGCAGCUCAUCCGAGUGAGCCCAGCGUCUCCCGCGGCGGCAAUAUCGAGCUCAGGCACAACGGGGCCGUCCACCUCAUCGUCCACGACCACGGCAUCGUCGCCAGGUGCUGCAUGGCCGUACACUGGGGAGCACAAAAAUAAUAAAGACCCGUGA